AGAGUUUGAUCCUGGCUCAGGACGAACGCUGUCGGCGCGCCUAACACAUGCAAGUCGAACGAAGUUGCUUUGAAUGAAUUCUUCGGAAGGAAUUUGAUUCAACUUAGUGGCGGACGGGUGAGUAACGCGUGAGUAACCUGCCUUUCAGAGGGGGAUAACGUCUGGAAACGGACGCUAAUACCGCAUAACAUAUUGGUUUCGCAUGGAGCUGAUAUCAAAGGAGCAAUCCGCUGAAAGAUGGACUCGCGUCCAAUUAGCUAGUUGGUGAGGUAACGGCCCACCAAGGCGACGAUUGGUAGCCGGACUGAGAGGUUGAACGGCCACAUUGGGACUGAGACACGGCCCAGACUCCUACGGGAGGCAGCAGUGGGGAAUAUUGCACAAUGGGGGAAACCCUGAUGCAGCGACGCCGAGUGAGGGAAGAAGGUUUUCGGAUUGUAAACCUCUGUCCUUGGUGAAGAUAAUGACGGUAACCAAGGAGGAAGCUACGGCUAACUACGUGCCAGCAGCCGCGGUAAUACGUAGGUAGCGAGCGUUGUCCGGAAUUACUGGGUGUAAAGGGAGCGUAGGCGGGAUUGCAAGUUGAAUGUUAAAUCUAUGGGCUCAACCCAUAGCCGCGUUCAAAACUGCAGUUCUUGAGUGAAGUAGAGGCAGGCGGAAUUCCUAGUGUAGCGGUGAAAUGCGUAAAUAUUAGGAGGAACACCAGUGGCGAAGGCGGCCUGCUGGGCUUUAACUGACGCUGAGGCUCGAAAGCGUGGGUAGCAAACAGGAUUAGAUACCCUGGUAGUCCACGCUGUAAACGAUGAUUACUAGGUGUGGGGGGACUGACCCCUUCCGUGCCGGAGUUAACACAAUAAGUAAUCCACCUGGGGAGUACGACCGCAAGGUUGAAACUCAAAGGAAUUGACGGGGGCCCGCACAAGCAGUGGAGUGUGUGGUUUAAUUCGAAGCAACGCGAAGAACCUUACCAAGUCUUGACAUCCCUCUGACCGUUCCUUAAUCGGAACUUUCCUUCGGGACAGAGGAGACAGGUGGUGCAUGGUUGUCGUCAGCUCGUGUCGUGAGAUGUUGGGUUAAGUCCCGCAACGAGCGCAACCCCUAUCCCCAGUAGCCAGCGGUUCGGCCGGGCACUCUGAGGAGACUGCCAGGGAUAACCUGGAGGAAGGCGGGGAUGACGUCAAAUCAUCAUGCCCCUUAUGAUUUGGGCUACACACGUGCUACAAUGGCGUAAACAAAGGGAAGCGAGCCUGCGAAGGUAAGCAAAUCCCAAAAAUAACGUCCCAGUUCGGACUGCAGUCUGCAACUCGACUGCACGAAGCUGGAAUCGCUAGUAAUCGCGGAUCAGAAUGCCGCGGUGAAUACGUUCCCGGGUCUUGCACUAACCGCCCGUCA
rnacentral:rRNA from 1 species